rnacentral:lncRNA from 1 species
UAUUGUCUUCUGAAAUACUUUUCUAUUUUUUAUUUCUUUAUGCGAACCUACUCAAACUAGGAACAAAUUUAGGCUGUUCUGAACAAUCUGUAUGUUCUUUUACUGUGGAAUGAAGUAGCCCCUUGGGCUAAACAAGAACUGAAUGAACUUUCAUGAAAAAUAAUAUCAGCUGCUCCAGUCACCUCAGCUUAACUGAAAAAAAAGUGCAAGGCAUGUACCAAGAGAAAUGGGGAAGGAGACAUGCCAGGGUGCUAUCCAGACAUUCUUCUGAGAAAGUCUACCUUCUUGUGCAAACAGAGAGAUACUUCCAAGGUGAGUGCAGUUUGGAGGGUUUUUCCUGCCUUUUCACUGUGACUGUAAGCCUGGAGAGGCUCCUGCUGUAAGCUUUUGCUUUAGCUUUAGAUCCUUGGCACACUGGUGUAUGUGAGAGAUCUAAGCUAAAUGAAAGAGAUCCAGCCAAGCAGCACAGUUGCAUCAUAUAAGUGUUACCCUCAGUUUGGAUAUCUGCAACAAGAUUUCUUAGAGUAGUUUGAGUGACAGGUCACUCAGAAGGCCACUGUCAAAAGUUUUAAUGGGUGCUCUUGAGUUGUCUCCCCUGGCUUUUGUAGUUAUGCAGUAGGCUUUGUUCUCUGCAGUUGUUCAUGGCCUCUAGCCUCAAGCCAUAGCAUGCAUGUCCUCAGUGUCAGAACACAAAAACAUCAGUUGGGUGGGAUGCAAAGCAAUCCUGUCAUUAUUUAGAUCACUUUGAAUUCAAAAAAAUUACCCCACUAAAAAUUGAACCGUUAUGUCUUAAUGCCUGAGAUGUAACUCAUGUGACCUAAACAAACUCAGGACCAGCUGCAACAAAAUACACAUGCAGCCAGUCUGCUCUGAAAACACGGGUGAACAGUGGGUGGAUGGAGGACAUUCUGCUGCCUUUGUGUCCAGGAACCACUUUUUCAGGCUGUAGAAUAGUCACAGCCCUGGAGACUUGAUGAUCUCAAAGAUCCUUUCCUACCUAGUUAAUUCUGUGAUUCUGUGUGAUUCUGUUGUUCUGUGAUCCCAGCCUUGAACUCAUGCUGUAGUAGGUGGUUCUUACUGUUCUCUGAUCAUUACCAAGUCUAAGAACCAUUGCCAGUUUCAUUUACAAAUUAUGGAAAUGAGGCAGAAACUGGAUGAUGGACUGGCUUAAAACCAAAAUCAGGACUUUUGCAUUUAAUGC